rnacentral:pre_miRNA from 1 species
AAUAAACCAAUUUUUCACUUUUCACCUAUAAUUUUUAACUCUUCGUCUUAUUCAAAAAAAUUUUAUGAUUGAUAUUUUUGUUUUUAUUAGAUGAUAAAUCAUGAAUAGUAUUUUACGUGUGACUAAUUUUUUCUAAUUUUCUAAAAAAAUUUCAAAUAAGACGGAUGAUUAAACGUUAGACACGUAAACCGGAGAAUUGAUU